rnacentral:rRNA from 1 species
UACGAAUAAGCAUCGGCUAACUCCGUGCCAGCAGCCGCGGUAAUACGGAGGAUGCGAGCGUUAUCCGGAUUUAUUGGGUUUAAAGGGUGCGUAGGCGGCCUGUUAAGUCAGCGGUGAAAUCUAGGAGCUUAACUCCUAAAUUGCCAUUGAUACUGGCGGGCUUGAGUGUAGAUGAGGUAGGCGGAAUGCGUGGUGUAGCGGUGGAAUGCAUAGAUAUCACGCAGAACUCCGAUUGCGAAGGCAGCUUACUAAGGUACAACUGACGCUGAAGCACGAAAGCGUGGGUAUCAAACAGGAUUAGAUACCCUGGUAGUCCACGCAGUAAACGAUGAUAACUGGGCGUAUGCGAUAUACAGUAUGCUCCUAAGCGAAAGCGUUAAGUUAUCCACCUGGGGAGUACGCCGGCAACGGUGAAACUCAAAGGAAUUGACGGGGGCCCGCACAAGCGGAGGAACAUGUGGUUUAAUUCGAUGAUACGCGAGGAACCUUACCCGGGAUUGAAAUGUAGAUGACCGCCGGUGAAAGUCGGCUUUCCUUCGGGACAUCUAUGUAGGUGCUGCAUGGUUGUCGUCAGCUCGUGCCGUGAGGUGUCGGCUUAAGUGCCAUAACGAGCGCAACCCCUGUCUACGGUUGCCAUCAGGUGAUGCUGGGAACUCCGUAGAGACUGCCGUCGUAAGGCGUGAGGAAGGUGGGGAUGACGUCAAAUCAGCACGGCCCUUACAUCCGGGGCGACACACGUGUUACAAUGGUGGGGACAAAGGGCAGCUACCUGGCGACAGGAUGCGAAUCUCCAAACCCCAUCACAGUUCGGAUCGGAGUCUGCAACUCGACUCCGUGAAGCUGGAUUCGCUAGUAAUC